rnacentral:rRNA from 1 species
CCCCAAAAAACGGAACGUCUCAGUUCGGAUUGUAGUCUGCAACUCGACUACAUGAAGCUGGAAUCGCUAGUAAUCGCGAAUCAGAAUGUCGCGGUGAAUACGUUCCCGGGUCUUGUACACACCGCCCGUCACACCAUGGGAGUUGGGAAUGCCCGAAGCCGGUGACCUAACCGAAAGGGAGGAGCCGUCGAAGGCAGGCUUGAUAACUGGGGUGAAGUCGUAACAAGGUAUC